rnacentral:rRNA from 1 species
UACGUAGGUGGCGAGCGUUUGUCCGGAAUUACUGGGUGUAAAGGGCGUGUAGGCGGGAUUGCAAGUCAGAUGUGAAAUUCUUGAGCUCAACUCAAGGGCUGCAUCUGAAACUGUGAUUCUUGAGUGCUGGAGAGGAAAGCGGUAUUCCUAGUGUAGCGGUGAAAUGCUUAGAUAUCGUCAAGAACACCAAUAGUGAAGACAGCUUACUGGGCUUAAACUGACGCUGAGGCGCGACAGCGUGGGGAGCAAACAGG